UAAAAAGAGAUAUAAGAAAAAAGUGGGGUUGGUUAUUAUUUAGAUUUGAACUUAUCAAGUUCUGCUUUUCGGUUCUCGUUCUUAUCGAAUCCUGGCUCCAGCUCUUGUUGUACGGUUUGAGUAAGAAAAGAAACCCAAACUGGUUGAAACCAAAAGCCAGCUAUCUUGCCAUGUACAAGUUAGAUUGUAUUAGGAACUGUAACUAUAAGAGAUUAUUUUUAUUGUUGAUGUAUUUGUUGAUAAUUUCCUCCAUGAAUGGAUUAGUUGUUUGGUCUCUAAAAUGUCAGAAAAUGGUCAAAGUAAAAAUGUGGAUCCGAGUUUCCCAAAUGGCCAAUAUGACGUCCUCAAAUGUCUUGUUUUGUCCACAACUCAAAGAUUUUCAGGUAACUGAAAUAAAGGUAGGUAAAUAAAGACGCUGCAAUCAGAUCGUUAUGACAGGUUUUUAAUUUCAAUGAAUCGAUUCAUCUUUGCGGUUUUGUUUCUCCCGGAGAUGGUUGGCUAGCUUUACCAGCUCUACCACAUUAUGACUACACUUGUGGUGAUCAGAAUACUGCAGAAUACCUGCUGAGUCAUAUUACAUUUUACUAGUCUUUUCUCGAGCUUACAGUGGUCUUACUUAAGGAAUCAAAAAGCCGUUUAAGAACAAUUUUUGAAAAAAAAUUGCCCAAAAAUGCAUCAACAGAGCUCCAAAUUCUAUUUUCUCUUGACUUAAAUAUAUAUUUAUAUUUCCAUGUAUGUGUGGUGGGUUGUAAGAGCUAAUUUUCCUCCUUAGAAGAGGAAGAAUGAGGCUGUUUUCCUCUUGUUUUGUUGCCCUGAUGCUUAGAUAGCUUGCCAAAAUGAAAUGCAAAAUGCAUCCACAACGCUCUGAAUACUAUUUUCUCUUGUCUGCAGUAUGUUUAAUUCUUCAUGUUUGUGUGGCAGGACUUCUGUGGGCACACAGCUAGUUAGUGAUGCGACCAAUACUGUAUACUUCAGAAGACGCUGUAAGUUAGCUUCUACAGAACAAAAUGUUCCUUAUUCCAUUGUUUUGGUUCGGUUUUCCUGUCAAUCUAUCUGACACUCAGGAAGAAAUGGAAGACUUUGACAUAAUGUCUCAAA